UCUCCAUUGGUGAACCAGCGGAGGGAUCAUUAUCGAGUUUAUAACUCCCAAACCCUAUGUGAACUUACCACUUGUUGCUUCGGCGCGCGCUUCGGUGCCGCCGAGGACACUUAAACUCUUUGUUUUUAUAAGCAUUUCUGAGUGGCCGAAAGGCAAAAUACAAAUGAAUCAAAACUUUCAACAACGGAUCUCUUGGUUCUG
rnacentral:misc_RNA from 1 species